rnacentral:rRNA from 1 species
AUGAAGGCUUCAGGUAGAGAAACAACAGAGGAAUUGAAAGGAAAAAGAAAGCUCUACACUGACAGAAGAAAUACAACCGUAGUAGUUGGGAGCCUGCUUUUCUGCACAUCCUGGAGGACAACUCAUCACCGGCAGCUGCAUGUUCAUCCAUCCUCCUGGGAGCUGGAUGACUUGGACGGGAGAAACAGCUGGUUUAUUAUCGUCUAUCUGCUGAAUCUGGAGGACCUGGCGGUCCGGGACGACGACACCGGGGACCCGUCGCCGCUCCGGAUCUCCCCCUCCCAGUCGUCCUGCACCUGGGUGGCGAACUGGAGGUUCCAGAGCACGUCCUCGACCGACGGCCGGUGCACCGCCUCCUUGGCCAGGCACCUCAGGCAGAUCUCCAUGACUGUCCUCAGUGAUUCUUCUGAACAGCUCUUGCUCACCGCCGGGUCCACGAAGCUCCUCCUCCUGGCCCUGUCCUCCUCGGCCAUUGCCCAUAGCAGCUGCAGCACAAACAAGAUUCAGACACAAGCUCAAGCAGGAUCACCCCGAAAUCAAAUAUGUCAAUCUUGUCGCCGAGCAUCGUGCUGCAAAGUAGCAUUGCGGAACAAGGAAAGAUGA